GACGAACGCUGGCGGCGUGCUUAACACAUGCAAGUCGAACGGAAAGGCCCUGCUUUUGUGGGGUUCUCGAUUGGCGAACGGGUGAGUAACACGUGUGUAACCUGCCCUUGACUUUUGGAUAACUUCAGGAAACUGGGGCUCAUACCGGAUAGGAGCUCCUGCUGCAUGGUGGGGGUUGGUAAGUUUCGGCGGUUGGGUAUGGACUCGCGGCUUAUCAGCUUGUUGGUGGGGUAGUUGCUUACCAAGGCUUUGACGGGUAGCCGGCCUGAGAGGGUGACCGGCCACAGUGGGACUGAGAGACGGACCAGACUGCAACGGGAGGCAGCAGUGGGGAAUAUUGCACAAUGGGCGGAAGCCUGAUGCAGAAACGCCGCGUGCGGGAUGACGGCCUACGGGUUGUAAACCGAUUUCGCAUGUGACGAAGCGUGAGUGACGGUAAUGGGUAAAGAAGCACCGGCUAACUACGUG
rnacentral:rRNA from 1 species